rnacentral:rRNA from 1 species
UACGGAGGGUGCAAGCGUUAUCCGGAUUCACUGGGUUUAAAGGGUGCGUAGGAGGGCAGGUAAGUCAGUGGUGAGAUCUUCGAGCUUAACUCGGAAACUGCCGUUGAUACUAUCUGUCUUGAAUACCGUGGAGGUGAGCGGAAUAUGUCAUGUAGCGGUGAAAUGCUUAGAUAUGACAUAGAACACCAAUUGCGAAGGCAGCUCGCUACACGAAUAUUGACUCUGAGGCACGAAAGCGUGGGGAUCAAACAGG